rnacentral:rRNA from 1 species
GAACGGAACUCUUCGGAGGGAAGUUCGUGGAACGAGCGGCGGACGGGUGAGUAACACGUAGGCAACCUGCCUGUAAGACUGGGAUAACUCGCGGAAACGCGAGCUAAUACCGGAUAACACUUUCUAUCACCUGAUGGAAAGUUGAAAGGCGGCUUUUGCUGUUUUUCCACUUACAGAUGGGCCUGCGGCGCCCAGUAGCUAGUUGGUGAGGUAAACGGCCUUCACCAAGGCGACCAGUGCGUUAGCCGACCCUGAGAGGGGUUGAUCGGCCACACUGGGGGACUGAGACACGGCCCCAGACUCCUUACGGGGAGGCAGCAGUAGGGAAUCUUUCCGCAAUUGGACGAAAGUUCUGACGGAGCAACCGCCGCGUGAGUGAUGAAGGUUUUCGGAUCGUAAAACUCUGUUGUCAGGGAAGAACAAGUACGAUAGUAACUGAUCGUACCUUGACGGUACCUGACCAGAAAGCCACGGCUAACUACGUGCCAGCAGCCGCGGUAAUACGUAGGUGGCAAGCGUUGUCCGGAAUUAUUGGGCGUAAAGCGCUCGCAGGCGGUUCUUUAAGUCUGAUGUGAAAUCUUGCGGCUCAACCGCAAACGUGCAUUGGAAACUGGAGGACUUGAGUGCAGAAGAGGAGAGUGGAAUUCCACGUGUAGCGGUGAAAUGCGUAGAGAUGUGGAGGAACACCAGUGGCGAAGGCGACUCUCUGGUCUGUAACUGACGCUGAGGAGCGAAAGCGUGGGGAGCGAACAGGAUUAGAUACCCUGGUAGUCCACGCCGUAAACGAUGAGUGCUAGGUGUUAGGGGGUUUCCGCCCCUUAGUGCUGAAGUUAACGCAUUAAGCACUCCGCCUGGGGGAGUACGGCCGCAAGGCUGAAACUCAAAAGAAUUGACGGGGGACCCGCACAAGCGGUGGAAGCAUGUGGGUUUAAUUCCGAAGCAACGCGAAAGAACCUUUACCAGGUCUUGGACAUCCCUUUGAACCGCUCUAGAAAAUAGAAGUUUUCCCCUUCGGGGGACAAAGUGAACAGGGGGGUGCCAUGGUUUGUCGUCCACCUCCUGGUCCUGGAAAAUGUUUGGGGUUAAAGUCCCCGCAACCAAGCGCCAACCCUUUAAUCCUUAAUUUGCCCAGCAUUUUAUUUUGGGGCCCCUCUUAAGGGGGAACUGGCCCGGGGGAAAAAACCCCGGAGGAAAAGGGGGGGGGAAUCAAAUCAUCCAAAACCAUUCUGACGUGGGCUACCCCCUUUUUAAAACCUGGGGGGUUAACAAACCGGGGGGAACCCGAGAGGUCCAGCAAAUCCCAUAAAACCGUUCUCAGUUCGGAUUGCAGGCUGCAACUCGCCUGCAUGAAGCGGGAAUCGCUAGUAAUCGCGGAUCAGCAUGCCGCGGUGAAUACGUUCCCGGGUCUUGUACACACCGCCCGUCACACCACGAGAGUUCGUAACACCCGAAGUCGGUG